AGCCUCUAUCUUGUGAACUUAGUGGGAACUAACUAGAACUAUAGUUUUUUUCCAGACACUUAAUUCUGCGUUUACUUAUACUUCAUUGUUAUAAAUCAGUCUGUGUUCGGACCCGCGUCUCCCGUGUUACACAACUCGUCGACGGCGACCUUCUUCGACGGGCUUCUGUUCCGGAAAAUCCAACCGUCGCCCCCAUCUUGAAGCGUCUUGAAGAAACUGCCUCGAUUUGAAAAACUUCACCUUACUGAGGAAUCACGUGCAAAAAACCAUCUAGCACCAUCCUUGACAACCAGUGUUUAUUCUGUAUCAUAGAAAUUCCACAUUUGUUUUAUUGUUUAUUCUAUUUUAUCACCAAAGAGCGAAAUUACCGGAGUCAAAUUCCUUGUUGGACAAUGCCAAUAAAGAUGAUUCCGCUUCUGAUUCUGAUUCUGAUUCUGAACACGUCAGCCACGAUGGGGGACACACCAUCAGAAUGCAACAUGGGCGACCGCCUGAGAUGUUGCAUUUGUUCUAAAGUUCUACCUCCAUGCUGCGACUUCGAUAAUAUACAUAAAAUGACUUUUCAUAGUCAGUACGUAUAUGCGUUCAAUGGAGGUGAAUACUUCAGAGAAGUUGGCCACCAUAAUAUGUACAAGUGUCAAUACUGCUUUCUAAAGGAAGUCAGGCAUCAACAGGAAAUGAGAGAUGAAGAGAGGAAAAGAGAAGAGGAGAGAAGAGGAAAUGAGAAGAGAAGAAGAGCAAAAGAGGAGAUGUAGCAGUAGGUCAGCGGAGGGACCAAUCAGAGGAACACAGGAACUCUGAUUAACAGCAGUUGGACGCAGGGUGUCACUCUCUCUCUGUCCUUUGUGUGAGUUGGCUGUGUUCUUGACUCUCUGCCCCGCGGUAAGGAACAUUUAGGGGUUUUUAGCAUUGGUUGAUUUUAUGUCUAGUAGUUUUAUUGUUAGGGUAAUGUAGGGGUGCAUGUAUAUGCACCCUGAGGUAUUUGUAUUUUAAUGAUUUUAAUUGUGGGUCUCUCUGUUUGUAGGACUGAAACUUUCACUGUUUUAAAAUGUAGAGGUGUGUAAAAGAUGAUUUAAACCUCACAACACGUCCUACAAACAACAUUUUAACAGUGCUUUCUUUUACUUUUAGGCAUAGCACUGACUGCCGUUUAUUUUAGUUUGGUAUUUUAAGUUUUAGUUAUUUCAGUUUUAACAUUCUGUCUUCUCCUGUUUUCUAGUGUUGCGUCUCUCUCUGUCCUUUGUGUGAGUUGGCUGUGUUCUUGACUCUCUGCCCCGUGGACUGAAACUUUCACUGUUUUAAAAUGUAGAGUGUUGCGGUUGGCCGUGUCCUCCAUUCACCGUGUGGUCGAGGCGCUGGGAGUUCACUUAGAUGGUGAUAUGGUUUGUGGUGGCACUUUGAUUUAGUGUGGUGUUUUCUUUUGAUGUGUGUUUAGGUUUAUACUUAUUUUCUUUGAUAUUUCUGAUAUUUACUUUACUCCCAGUGUCCUAGGCAGUGAGUGGUUGGCUCCCCAGCCGUGAUAUGUCUGUUUAUCUUCUUUUCCUUCAUUGACUGUGGUAUUUUAGAGUUUUAUCCAUUGUAAAAUAAAUGGCAGAUUGACCCAC